rnacentral:rRNA from 1 species
CCUACGGGUGGCAGCAGUGGGGAAUCUUGCACAAUGGGGGAAACCCUGAUGCAGCGACGCCGCGUGAGUGAAGAAGUACCUCGGUACGUAAAGCUCUAUUAGCAGGGAAGAAAAUGACGGUAACUGACUAAGAAGCACCGGCUAACUACGUGCCAGCAGCCGCGGUCAUACGUAGGGGGCGAGCGUUAUCCGGAUUUACUGGGUGUAAAGGGAGCGUUGACGGAUGAACAAGUCCGGGGGGAAAUCCCGGGGCUUAACCCUGGGACUGCUUUGGAAACUGUGAAGCUGGAGAGCAGUAGGGGUAAGUGGAAUUUCUAGUGUAGGGGUGAAAUGCGUAGAUAUUAGGAGGAACACCGGUGGCGAAGGCGGGUUACUGGACUGGAACUGACGCUGAGGCUCGAAAGCGUGGGGAGCAAACGGGAUUAGAUACCCCGGUAGUC